CACACACACACACACACACACACACAGACACACACAGUGUCAGAAGUGUAAUUAGGAAUAUUUCAGGGGAAUUAAUAUGUAAGUAAAAAGUAGAUACAGAAAAUAAGAAAGACAUACCUAUUUUUCAACAAAUAGUGUAAUAAGCCAAGAGCACUUGUUAAUCAGAAGCAACGUAGGAUGGGGUCUGUAGCCCGCUUUCAUACUGAGUAUAUUAGUAGCUGUAGUUAAAAGAGCUGCUUAGUGUUUACUGGUAAUUAACAAAAGAGAAAGUGCAAUUUUUAAAUAUCCUCCUGAUUUACAGAUGGUUGGAAUCGUUGUAGGACUUACUCUUGGGUGAAGUAGUGAGCUCACAUCUUUAUCAUAGAUAACAUCUGAAGUUAGAUAGUAAAUCAAAAGUUUAUUAUUAUGUAGUUCUGCUUGACCCAUUAAAUUCUAAAUCUCUUCUAAAUCUUCUUUUCCCUGCUGUGGUGAACGUAGGACCCCUGAUUUAAUUAUUUAAUUUGGAACCAUUGUCCUGGGUAAGAAGCAUAGAUGAGGAUAAAGAGAGAAGAACAGACUCCUACAAGUUGUCCUCUGACCUCUACACAAUUCUGCUUUCUAAAGAAUCCUAUGAGAAAUUAAACAAACCAGUUGGUGAGUGAGUUAAGCAGGACUGGGAGAUAGCUCGGUCAGCCACUUGCCCUGAAACCUCAAGGAUCCAGUUUCCAUCACCAGGGCCCAGAAUGAGUACGGCUCCACAGUCCUGUUCUGGGGAAGAUGUUGCCUGUUUACUGCUAGAUCAGAGGGAAGAUACAUAUAAUGAAGACUGUAGCUGACUCACUCUGAGACGAAGCAGGUGCUGCUGCCUCUGUGGGUAAGAUACGUUCUGUCUACAGACUAAUCAAAGACACCUGUCAAUCAGGGCCGCUUUCUUUGCAGUGUGCAUUGAAUUAUUUAAG